rnacentral:lncRNA from 1 species
AUGGCUGGGGCCGGUGUGGUGCCACACGAAGGAUGCUCUGUCCCCACCCUGCUGCAUGAAGAAGUUCUCAUUCCUACAACGGGACAGGACAGCAGCAGAGAAGCUCGGGCCAUUUACUCCAGCGCCUUCCCCAGGGUCCCAGAGGAGAGCUCCCGCACCAUCACACCGCCCCGACGUGCUCCAAGUCCCACCACUUUCCCACCCCAGGUGAGUGGCACAAGGAGACCUUCUCAUCGCAUCUUCCCGCUGCCCCACCACCUCUGUGGGACCAGGGGCAGGUGCAGGAAGAGGAGAACGCACACCGCGAACACCCAGAAGGCGGCUGGCUUUUUUGGGCUGCAGCAGAACCCGCGCCAGAGACUUUCCUUGGCUGAAAUCUGCAGAAUUCACAGGAAACGAGGAGGUUCCUUGAGGGCUGCGCUCCCCCCGGGGCUGGGACAGGUCUGUGCAGGCUUGCUCCCGCGCUGCCCCCAGCACCCAGCCGCUCUGCCUGCCUGCUGGAGCCUGCUCACCUCGUUCGUCAUCCCUAAUCAUGGAAAAAUCUGCAAUGCCCCCAGUAACGGCUGUCACCGCGGCACGAACACGUGUGGCACCCAGCGAGCCCUCCCGAAAUCGUUCUUGCAUGGCCCCAGGAGAGAUGAACCCCUCUGCAAACACCCUCUGCAAUACCCCAGCCUGGGAGGGCUCCUCCACGUGCAGCCAGACCGAAGCCAAACCCUGUCUUUUCCUCCUCAAAAAGACAUUUUAAUGCUGAAUCAAGUUCUUGCAGCGGGGCUGUUGCAGCAUCCUCCGGGCUCUGGGACCUGGGGAGCGGACGGGGGGACGGUGCUCUGCCCGGCCCUGCAUCUUUUCCGUGGAAUUCAUCACCCGCUGCCCAAACCCACUGGAAAAAACACGGCCCCAGGUCGAGCCCCCGGCCUUUCUGCUGCCAGACGGGAGCCAGAAGCCACAAGAAAAAGGCUGAGGUGA